rnacentral:lncRNA from 1 species
AUGAGGUCCCAGAAGUCAGCUUUGGUAUUUCUGCUCCUGCAACUCUUCUGUGCUGGCUGUGGAUUCUGAGAGAAGGUCCUGGUGUGGCCCUGUGACAUGAGCCAUUGGCUGAAUGUCAAGGUCAUUCUAGAGGAGAUCAUAGUGAGGGGCCAUGAGGUAACAGUAUUGACUCACUCAAAGUCUUUGUUAAUUGACUACAGGAAGCCUUCGGCACUGAAAUUUGAGGUGUCCAUAUGCCACAGGACAAAACAGAAGAAAAUGAAAUAUUUGUUGACCUAGCUCUGAAUGUCUUGCCAGGCUUACCAAAUAGUUAUAAAAUUAAAUGUUUUUUUGUUGAAAUAAGAGGAACUUUAAAAAUGAUGGGUGAGAGCAUUAUCUUCAAUGAGACACUCAUGAAGAAGCUACAGGAAACCAACUACGAUGUAAUGCUUAAAGACCCUGUGAUUCCCCAUGGAGACCUGAUGGCUGAGUUGCUUCCAGUCCCUUUUGUGCUCACACCUAGAACUUCUCUAAGAGGCAAUAUGGAGUGAAGCUGUGGGAAACUUCCAGCUCCACUUUCCUAUGUACCUGUGCCUAUGACAGGAUUAACAGACAGAAUGACCUUUCAGGAAAGAUUAAAAAAUCCAAUGCUUUCAGUUUUGUUCUACUUCUGGAUUCAGGAUUAUGACCAUCAUUUUUGGGAAGAGUUUUAGAGUAAGGCAUUAG